GCAUCUAUUGUCUAAUGGAAAGGAUAAAGGUUAUAUAGACCUUUGGUAUAGGUUCAAAUCCUAUUGGAUGCU
rnacentral:tRNA from 1 species